rnacentral:rRNA from 1 species
UACAGAGGUGGCAAGCGUUGUUCGGAUUUAUUGGGCGUAAAGGGUCCGUAGGCGGUUUGGAAAGUCAGAUGUGAAAAUCCCACAGCUCAACUGUGGAACUGCAUUUGAAACUUCCAGACUAGAGUGUGAGAGGGGUUAAGGGAAUUCCCGGUGUAAGGGUGAAAUCUGCAGAGAUCGGGAGGAACACCAGUCGCGAAGGCGCUUAACUGGCUCACAACUGACGCUCAGGGACGAAAGCUAGGGUAGCAAACGGG